AGCGGCAACUAAAUCCUAGCUACGGGGGCCGCGGAAGUCCAAUUGCAGCCGCCUAGCGGCAUGAGCGCCCUCGCGAGGCUGAGACGGGCGGAAGCAAGCUGUGGUGGCCACUGCUGUGGAGAAGCAGAACAGCUAAGAUCUGGGUUGGAGGGUGCGCCCGCUAGCUUCAGCUCAGAGUAGGCUGGAACAAGGCUUGGUCUAGUUUCACUGUUGCGGCUGCUGAGUCCGCCGCAGUGCGAACCAGUCCUGGGACCAGCAGGCGAACUCUCCGAAGUCUAGGAUUCGAUCUGUUUCUUUUCGAGAAUGUUUGUUUAUAUAAGGGAUUAAGUUGAUGUGUCCCUGAAUCACCUCGGAUGAAGCCUACUUGAUCUUGAUGGAUGAUGUCUUUGAUGUGUUUCUCUCUAUGAAGUCAGGACAAGCAAAAAUCAUCAAAGAAAGCAUGGUGAACCGAAGAAAACGCAAUGAAGACCAGCCUCGGCGAAGCACAAGACCAGCAUAGAGAGCCAGUAUCCGAGCAUUGUUCAUGGUCUGUUGGGUUAUACUUACAAUCUGUCCAAACAUCACAUACCCUUUCAUCAGACAGCGUCCAGAAAAACACCAUGUGUCUGCUUCAGCAAAACAUCCUGUCAUAAGACAGCGUCCAGAAAAACACAAGACACAACUGAGUCUCCAAGGAAACCAGAAAUCCCCACUUCGAGGAGUGACAUUAUUAGGAAGUGUAGCCUUAUUGGAGGAAGUAUGUCCUGUGGGUGGGCUUCGAGAUGGCGCAUGCUCAAACCAGGCCCAGUGUUUUACUCUUUUUCCCUGCUGCCUGCCAAUUCAGAUGUAGAACUCUCAGCUCCUCUCCAGUACCAUGUCCGCCUGGAUGCUGCCAUCUUUCUCAGUGUGAUGAGAAUGGACUAAACCUCUUAAGCUGUAAGCAGCCCCAAUUAAAUGUUUUACUUU
rnacentral:sRNA from 1 species